rnacentral:rRNA from 1 species
AUUGAACGCUGGCGGCAGGCCUAACACAUGCAAGUCGAACGAGUGGCGGACGGGUGAGUUAUGUCUGGGAAACUGCCUGAUGGAGGGGGAUAACUACUGGAAACUGUAGCUAAUACCGCAUACCAUCGGAUGUGCCCAGAUGGGUUUAGAUAGUCGGGGGGGUAAAGGCUCACCUAGGCGACGAUCCGUAGUUGGUCUGAGAGUAUGACAAGCCAAACUGGAACUGAGACACGGGCCAGACUCCUACGGAAGGCAGCAGUGGGGAAUAUUGCACAAUGGGCGAAAGCCUGAUGCAGCCAUGCCGCGUGUAUGAAGAAGGCCUUCGGGUUGUAAAGUACUUUCAGCGGGGAGGCGUUACCCGCAGAAGAAGCACCGGCUAACUCCGUGCCAGCAGCCGCGGUAAUUC